rnacentral:pre_miRNA from 1 species
UUAUCUGGGCUUGAUCCAAAGUCCAUUGAAAUCAAUGGCAGUCUAUUGACUUCAGUGAGAUUUGGAUCAGGCCCUAUCAGA